rnacentral:rRNA from 1 species
GUGGAUUGAACAAGAAACAGCCUGGCAAGUUGCCUGGUGUAGGAGGUAUUAAUAUCGAAGUCAAGGAAAAGUCUCUCGCCAAGGUAGAGCAAGAAGAGAAG